UUGACCUCGGAUCAGGG
rnacentral:rRNA from 1 species